UGCAUGCCAGAUAGGUGGGUGGGUGCACAGUUUCCUUAAAAUUGAACUUACACAUUGCAAACAAGGAAAGGAGCAAGGAAAACAGCUGAGGAGGACCAAUUCAAUCAGCUGCCCCUGAUCAGCUGAGCUUCAGAAACAGAAAUAAAGGUCUGCUUGAAUGGAUGUUUCUAUUGUCUUGCUGUACUGUGAGCCCUGCAGUGCCAUUAAGGGAUUGAGCAGUUUAUAAAUCUUGCAAAUGAAUCUACGAAUGAAUAAAUAAAUAUGCUGUUAACAAAAACGUAAAUGUUGUUUGUUUUUCUUGUGACAGGAAGAUAUGUUUUAGGACCCUGCUUGCGAAUGCUGUACUGCUUAUUUAUUCUUCCUUGAAAGAAAAUUAAUAAUAAUACAAAUGAUUUAUUUAUUUACAUAUGACAUUUACUGUAUAUGGCUAAUCAACUCAGACAAAUGUGACUUUGGAUGACAUACAGCAAUAGAAAAAGAGCCAGAAAGUAAAUACGAUUAAAAUUAUACCAACUGCAUUUAAUAGAUGAUUGGAAACCCUCAGUGCUGUGUCCUUGGCGCUCCCUGAACUUGGUGGUUUGCUUGCAGAUAUUUCAUUACCCAGCUAGAUAACGUCAUCAGUGCUAGUGAGUAUGGGCUUUGCCUCCUGUUUAUAUACAGUAGCCUUUGUAUGAUUCCUGAAGUGCUUGAUGAUCAUAUGGGGUUCCAAUAGAAGAAAAUACACUGUAUGUAGCUCAGGAUUGGUCCGUGGAGUCCUUGAUGUGUAAUGCUCUUUACCCAGAUGGAAUCUCUUAUGAUCCCGUGGUGGUGCAGUGGUUACAGUGCAGCGCUGCAGGCUACUUCUGCUGAUCACCGGCUGCCAGCAAUUUGGCAGAUCGAAUCUCACCAGGCUCAAGAUUGACUCGGCCUUCCAUUCUACUACUAUUAAUCGUUUCAUAGUUCCCAUCACCAAUCUCUUUCCACUUAUGACUGUAUGACUAUAACUUGUUGCUGGCAAUCCUUAUGAUUUAUAUUGAUAUAUUGACCAUCAAUUGUGUUGUAAAUGUUGUACCUUGAUGAACGUAUCUUUUCUUUUAUGUACACUGAGAGCAUAUGCACCAAGACAAAUUCCUUGUGUGUCCAAUCACACUUGGCCAAUAAAAUUCUAUUCUAUUCUAUUCUUC